ACUCAAAGGAAUUGACGGGGACCCGCACAAGCGGUGGAACAUGUGGUUUAAUUCGAGGCAACGCGAAGAACCUUACCAGGAUUUGACAUGCCCUCUAUGGGGACCCGAAAGGGACCCCUUCACUUCGGGUGGGAGGUGCACAGGUGCUGCAUGGCUGUCGUCAGCUCGUGUCGUGAGAUGUUGGGUUAAGUCCCGCAACGAGCGCAACCCUCAUCCUCUGUUGCUAACAGGUAAUGCUGAGAACUCUGAGGAAACUGCCGGUGAUAAGCCGGAGGAAGGUGGGGAUGACGUCAAGUCCUCAUGGCCCUUACAUCCUGGGCUACACACGUGUUACAAUGGUGGUGACAAUGGGCUGCUAACCCGCGAGGGUACGCGAAUCCCAAAAAGCCACCUCAGUUCGGAUUGCACUCUGCAACUCGAGUGCAUGAAGCUGGAAUCGCUAGUAAUCGUAGAUCAGCACGCUACGGUGAAUACGUUCCCGGGUCUUGUACACACCGCCCGU
rnacentral:rRNA from 1 species